UUCAGAAUAUUUUUUGAAUGCAGUCUACGGCUGGAAAGUUGGAAUUUAUAGUUGAAGUAUGAAUCGUGAGGAUUUAGAUGAUACAUAUGAUCUUCUGUCUCCAGUACGGUACGUAGGGGAGAAGGUGCGUACUCCGACUCAUUUGAAAGUUCUGACAACGAAUCUAGUCCACAAUUUCGAUCGUCAGUAAGUUUUAAAUCACCUUCCAACUCAUUCAAGUCAUCAUCAUUCACAGCAUCUUCGAAGAUUCCACCACCUAAGUAUGCAUCAACUACGAGAUAUCAACAAGACAAACCCAAAAAUCUUGUCCCGUCAUCAGCGCCAGGCCCCUCAUCUUCUCCACCGAAAAGGGAACGAAGAAUUCGACGAACUUCGCCAUUGAAGGAUCGUAAUUCUCAUGACAACACUAUUGAAUUAAUGAAAAUGCCACAAGAUGGUGAUAAAAAAGAUUUUGAGUGUUUGGGAAGAUUGGUUGAUCAAAAAGUUACAACAGGAGAGAGAAGACAUAAAAAUACAGAGACAAGUUGAAAAAAGAAGAAAAAAGAAAAGAGAGGAAAGAAAAGAAUGGAAAAGGAAGAUUUAAAGAAAAGAGCUGAAUUAAAACAUCGGUAGUGGUGUGAAGAAAAGUUAUUGAAGAUGAAGUUGCAGACGAAAAUGAGAAGCGUGAACAAAUGUUGAAGGAAGAAAUGAAAGUUCAAGAAAAACAAGAAAUUGAGAGAAAAUCAAAACAAGCAUAAGGGAGAUGGGUGGAAAAGAGAAAUGAAAUUGAAAAAUAGCAAAAAGAGAAGGAAAGGAGAAAAAAACUUGAAGAGAAACAGAAAGAGGAUGAAAGAAGAAGGAAAAAUGAAGAAUGCUUUCAGAAAUGGCUGAAAAAAGUCAAUGAAAAACAAUGUGCUUCUCCAAGACAAGGUACAGUGAGUGAGUAUCCCGCACCAUCUUAUCGUAAUCCAGCACCGUGGAUUGGCCCACUAGCAGACAAAGACACCAAGGAAUCAGUACAUCGCCAGCACAAAAUGAUGAUAGCAGAAAAACAUGCAACAAUUCGACAAAGACCAAAAACUGCGAACCAAAAAA